rnacentral:RNase_P_RNA from 2 species
CUGCUCUUUCAGAUGGUCGCCCCGGCUUCGCAAUGUGCUACGCCGAGGGAGGAACGUCCGGGCAUCACGCAGAACGCCAUGCGGGUAACACCCGUCGUCCCGCAAUAUAUUCGGUAAAUGCGGGAUAGGACCAGUGCCACAGAGACGAGCCCCUUCAGUGGGGAUUGAAACGCCUCGGAGUACCGAGGAACGUGUCCCUCACGUGAGUACACGUUCGGCAAACUCAUGGUGAUGCAAGGAGGGUUUGGGUAGUCGGAGUUCACUCUGGUUCCGGAGUGCCGUCUACUCCUCCGCAUUGAGGUCUUCGAGCAAUCGGGACCCCAGAUAGAUGACCAUCCGCCUGCAAAGGCGACAGAACCCGGAGUAUCGAAUGGGCAGGGAC